GACGAACGCUGGCGGCGUGCUUAACACAUGCAAGUCGAACGGUGAAGCUCCAGCUUGCUGGAGUGGAUCAGUGGCGAACGGGUGAGUAACACGUGAGCAACCUGCCCCUGACUCUGGAAUAAGCGCUGGAAACGGCGUCUAAUACUGGAUACGAGAAGGGUCCGCAUGGGCACUUUCUGGAAAGUUUUUCGGUUGGGGAUGGGCUCGCGGCCUAUCAGCUUGUUGGUGAGGUAAUGGCUCACCAAGGCGACGACGGGUAGCCGGCCUGAGAGGGCGACCGGCCACACUGGGAUUGAGACACGGCCCAGACUCCUACGGGAGGCAGAAGUGGGGAAUAUUGCACAAUGGGCGAAAGCCUGAUGCAGCGACGCCGCGUGAGGGAUGACGGCCUUCGGGUUGUAAACCUCUUUCAGCAGGGAAGAAGCGAAAGUGACGGUACCUGCAGAAGAAGCACCGGCUAACUACGUG
rnacentral:rRNA from 1 species